GAUGAACGCUAGCGGCAGGCCUAACACAUGCAAGUCGAGGGAGAAGCCCUUCGGGGCAGAAACCGGCGCACGGGUGCGUAACGCGUAUGCAACCUACCUUUCACAGGGGGAUAGCCCGAAGAAAUUUGGAUUAAUACCCCAUAAUAUUGUUGGAUGGCAUCAUCUGAUAAUUAAAACUGCGGUGGUGAAAGAUGGGCAUGCGUCCUAUUAGCUAGUUGGAGUGGUAACGGCACCCCAAGGCUACGAUAGGUAGGGGUCCUGAGAGGGAGAUCCCCCACACUGGUACUGAGACAGAGACCAGACUCCUACGGGAGGCAGCAGUGAGGAAUAUUGGUCAAUGGUCGGAAGACUGAACCAGCCAUGCCGCGUGCAGGAAGAAUGCCUUAUGGGUUGUAAACUGCUUUUAUAUGGGAAGAAUAAAGGUGUAACGUGUACAUUGAUGAACCGGUACCAUAUGAA
rnacentral:rRNA from 1 species